GGGGGGUGGGCCGGUGGAGAUGCGUUUCUGUGCCUGCAGGUGGGCUGCCACUGUGUGACUUCACAUUGUGAGAGUGAGCAGUUACUGUGAUGGGUGUGGACUUCAGCCAGCGGUCCUGGAAUUCUGCCUGGGCAAGAAGGUCUAUUCUCCAAGUUUCUUUUGAGGUAUUAACAUUUAACUUCUAAACAGACAAGGACCUGCCGCUGCUGGGUAGGUAAGAUAGUAGCUGCUAGUACAGGAAUGCUGAACACUUACUAGGUGCCCUACACUGAGUGAACUAAGUCUCAACUAAAACCUCAACUUUCCGGAACAAUCCCACUGGGCGGAUAGUGGUGCCAGUUUCAGUUUGCGGGGAAGAAGAGAUUUACGUACAUUUUUAUAAUUUUCCCAAGACCAAACAGGAAAAGAUGAUGGAAUUUAAAUUCUCAGCUCUGCUGGCUAGCAUUUAGGGUUCCAAGGACUCCUGUUACUCUGCUUUACCUUCCAUACCCAGCCAAAAUCCUGUGUACCUGAGAUUACACCGGGAGCUGUACUGAUGAUGGCUCUGUUGUGCUUUGUCACCUAGGCCUGCGGCCUGGUGGAGAUACUGGCAUGGAGUGCAGUGACUUGACCCUCCUCUUGUGUCGCUGGGACUCUGCCCCCGCUUUUCCACCCAGCCUGUCCUGCCGUCCACGGAACUCUCCUAAUUGAAGAAGCAGAAGUCAGGAAGAAUAUAGAAAACUUGUGUGACUGUGGUGGUAGAAAGAGAAACCCUGAAUGGGCUUGCACAUGGCCGGUCACCAGAUUGUCCCCGGUACAACCCUGCACCAGAAACGACAGGCAGACAGUCUGUGAGGCUUUCCCAAGUUACUGGCAUCGCCUCGCGGGAUCACCCGGCCAGAAACCGCUGCCUCCUUUGCCUCUGUCGCCGUCCUCACCCGAACCCUCACUGGACCCUGUUCCUACCCUCUUCAGCCCUCCUGGGAGAUGUGGCCCCAUGGGCGGAUGAACUGUCUGGGGUCUCUUCUGACUUCUGCUUUCUUUAUGUGUUCAGUUGUUUUUGAAGAUGGGACAGUGUGGAAGAAGCCCAUUUCACCCCACCUUGCCUCCUCUGCUUGUCACAACAAACUCCAGCACCUCACUGAACCCACUCCCAUACCUGUCAAAGACGAAUGUUCACAACUGCCUCUCGGAUUUCACCAUACAGCAGAUCUCAAGAAGUUUAUUCCCACUUUUCUUAAUCCUCUCCCUGAGAAGGGAGUUGAGUAAAGAUACUUUUCUCCACUGCACAGGUCUUCUCUGGACCUCUGCUUAACAGCUGAAGCAGACUCCUGAAGCAUUGUCUUUUCUUUCUUUUUUUUUUAUUCAUUAAGUUUAUUGGUACAUUUUAGGUG